rnacentral:rRNA from 1 species
UCGUCGUAGUAGUGUUUUGAAUCAUUGCUCAGGAUGAACGCUGGCGGCGUGCUAAUACAUGCAAGUCGAACGCUUUGUGGUUCAACUGAUUUGAAGAGCUUGCUCAGAUAUGACGAUGGACAUUGCAAAGAGUGGCGAACGGGUGAGUAACACGUGGGAAACUACCUCUUAGCAGGGGAUAACAUUUGGAAACAGAUGCUAAUACCGUAUAACAAUGACAACCGCAUGGUUGUUAUUUAAAAGAUGGUUCUGCUAUCACUAAGAGAUGGUCCCGCGGUGCAUUAGCUAGUUGGUAAGGUAAUGGCUUACCAAGGCGAUGAUGCAUAGCCGAGUUGAGAGACUGAUCGGCCACAAUGGGACUGAGACACGGCCCAUACUCCUACGGGAGGCAGCAGUAGGGAAUCUUCCACAAUGGGCGAAAGCCUGAUGGAGCAACGCCGCGUGUGUGAUGAAGGGUUUCGGCUCGUAAAACACUGUUGUAAGAGAAGAAUGACAUUGAGAGUAACUGUUCAAUGUGUGACGGUAUCUUACCAGAAAGGAACGGCUAAAUACGUGCCAGCAGCCGCGGUAAUACGUAUGUUCCAAGCGUUAUCCGGAUUUAUUGGGCGUAAAGCGAGCGCAGACGGUUAUUUAAGUCUGAAGUGAAAGCCCUCAGCUCAACUGAGGAAUUGCUUUGGAAACUGGAUGACUUGAGUGCAGUAGAGGAAAGUGGAACUCCAUGUGUAGCGGUGAAAUGCGUAGAUAUAUGGAAGAACACCAGUGGCGAAGGCGGCUUUCUGGACUGUAACUGACGUUGAGGCUCGAAAGUGUGGGUAGCAAACAGGAUUAGAUACCCUGGUAGUCCACACCGUAAACGAUGAGUGCUAGGUGUUUGAGGGUUUCCGCCCUUAAGUGCCGCAGCUAACGCAUUAAGCACUCCGGCGUGGGGAG